GAGUUUGAUCGUGGCUCAGGGCGAACGCUGGCGGCAGGCUUAACACAUGCAAGUCGAACGCAUCCUUCGGGGUGAGUGGCGGACGGGUGAGUAACACGUGGGAACGUACCCUUUGGUUCGGGACAACUCUGGGAAACUGGAGCUAAUACCGGAUACGCCCUUUUGGGGAAAGGUUUACUGCCGAAGGAUCGGCCCGCGUCUGAUUAGCUAGUUGGUGGGGUAACGGCCUACCAAGGCGACGAUCAGUAGCUGGUCUGAGAGGAUGAUCAGCCACACUGGGACUGAGACACGGCCCAGACUCCUACGGGAGGCAGCAGUGGGGAAUAUUGGACAAUGGGCGCAAGCCUGAUCCAGCCAUGCCGCGUGAGUGAUGAAGGCCUUAGGGUUGUAAAGCUCUUUUAUCCGGGACGAUAAUGACGGUACCGGAGGAAUAAGCCCCGGCUAACUUCGUGCCAGCCGCCGCAGUAAC
rnacentral:rRNA from 1 species